rnacentral:lncRNA from 1 species
UAGGACCAAAGUGGUUAAAGAUAUCAGGGAGUCAGGGUGACUGGGUCCUGGUUCUUCUCCUGCUCCUAAUUAUAACUGUAUGACCUUGGCCAGAUGGUUGGUGUUAUAGAGAAGGCUCAAACCUGCUGGGGAAUACUAACUCUGAGGGGGUAAAAUAUCUGAACCUGGCCUGGGGUUGACUGAUGCUUUCUCUGGACUCUGACGUUUCUAGAAGCCUAGUGCAGACAAGGUGA